rnacentral:tRNA from 7 species
GGCGGAUGUAGCCAAGUGGAUCAAGGCAGUGGAUUUGAAUCC